AUGGAGUCUUUUCCUACUUGUGUGCUCCACCAUGGUUAGUGGAGUAUGGUUGGAUUGUAUGAUUGUAUUUGAUACUUUGUAUAGGUGUAUUCAUAUAGAGUUAUAUGAUAAUAUAAUAUGUUUUGUUCUGAUAUAAUUCUGUAAUGAUAUAAUUCUGCUUGGGGUCCUCCCUCGGGACUGACGAUGUACACCUCUGACAUGUUUUUGGUUCCGCUUGGGGUCUUCCUAUGGGAACACGUGCACUGACUUUCGCUUGGGGUCCACCCUUGGGAAUGAACGCGAGUGGGCCCAGGGUAUGGAGAAUUCUCUAUAAACCUGGAGCUUAUUUAGAUUUGUUAUCUCACCCCGUUUGGGGGCAUCAUUUCAGGUGUACAGUCUCCUAUGGGAACACGUGCACUGACUUUCGCUUGGGGUCUACCCUUGGGAAUGAACGCGUGUACAGAUUCCAGGUGAGCCCUCACGAGGCAGGGACACGACCCGUGGCUAGAGGUGCUACGACGGACCAGAUUUUUUUUUGAGCAGUUGUAGGCUACUGCUAUUUUGGAGUAUAUUUCUGUUGUUUCGUAUUCGAUUAUUUUGAGGAUCAUGAUGUCUGAUCCUUUAUUUUGUAUAUAGCCUGUAUAUAUUUUGUACAUGUUUUCUGCUUUGAUGCAUGUGCAUUUGUGUAUUCAGGCAUGUCUAUAUUAUAAUGUAGUAUUCAGUUAUAUGUCUACAUGUUGGUUAUGCAUGCUGUUAGACGUAGUGGCACGGAGCCAAGUUAUAUAUGAGCUCUUG